UUGACCUCAAAUCAAGUAGGACUACCCGCUGAACUUAAGCAUAUCAAUAAGCGGAGGAAAAGAAACUAACAAGGAUUCCCCUAGUAACUGCGAGUGAAGAGGGAAGAGCUCAAAUUUUAAAUCUGGCAGCCCUUGGCUGUCCGAGUUGUAAUCUAGAGAAGUGUUUUCCGCGCUGGACCGUGUAUAAGUCUCCUGGAAGGGAGCGUCAUAGAGGGUGAGAAUCCCGUCUUUGACAUGGACUACCAGUGCUAUGUGAUGCGCUCUCGACGAGUCGAGUUGUUUGGGAAUGCAGCUCAAAAUGGGUGGUAAACUCCAUCUAAAGCUAAAUACAGGCGAGAGACCGAUAGCGAACAAGUACCGUGAGGGAAAGAUGAAAAGAACUUUGGAAAGAGAGUUAAACAGUACGUGAAAUUGCUGAAAGGGAAACGCUUGAUGUCAGUCGCGUUGGCUGGGGAUCAACCUUGCUUCUCGCUGGGUGUACUUCCCGGUUGACGGGUCAGCAUCAGUUUCAGUCGCCGUACAAGGGUGAAGGGAACGUGGCACUCUUCGGAGUGUGUUAUAGCCUUUCAUCGCAUGCGGUGGUUGGGACUGAGGAGCUCAGCACGGCUUCUUGCUUGUGCUCAGGAUGCUGGCAUAAUGGCCUUAAGCGACCCGUCUUGAAACACGGACCAA
rnacentral:rRNA from 1 species